rnacentral:rRNA from 1 species
AAGUAUAAGAGGUCCCACCUGCCCUGUGACUCUAAGUUUAACGGCCGCGGUAUUCUAACCGUGCGAAGGUAGCGCAAUCAAUUGCCUUUUAAAUGAAGGCCUGUAUGAAUGGUAUAACGAGGGUCUAGCUGUCUCUUUUUUCUAGUCAGUUAAACUGAUCUGUCCGUGCAGAAGCGGACAUAAAUAUACAAGACGAGAAGACCCUAUGGAGCUUUAGACACUAGCCAACUGUGAAUAAGCGACUGAACUGAGCAAGUCCUAAAUACCCGCAGCCUUAUGGUAAUGUAGUCUUAGGUUGGGGCGACCACGGGAGAAAGUAAAGCUCCCAAGCAGACCGGGAAAACCCUUAAGCCGAGAAUUGCAACUCUAAGCCGCAAAAUUUUUGACUGAAAUGAUCCGGUUGAAAAACCGAUUAACGAACCAAGUUACCCUAGGGAUAACAGCGCAAUCCUCUCCCAGAGUCCCUAUCGACGAGGGGGUUUACGACCUCGAUGUUGGAUCAGGACAUCCUAAUGGUGCAGCCGCUAUUAAGGGUUCGUUUGUUCAACGAUUAAAGUCCUACGUGAUC